GACGAAGGGGGCUAGCGUUGUUCGGAAUUACUGGGCGUAAAGCGCGUGUAGGCGGUUGCCCAAGUCGGGUGUGAAAGCCUUGAGCUCAACUCAAGAAAUGCACUCGGUACUGGGUGACUAGAGGACCGGAGAGGAUAGUGGAAUUCCCAGUGUAGUGGUGAAAUACGUAGAGAUUGGGAAGAACACCAGUGGCGAAAGGCGGCCAACUGGACCGAAUACUGACGCUGAGGCGCGAAAGCGUGGGGAGCAAACAGG
rnacentral:rRNA from 1 species